CUACCAAUGCCUUAAUUAAAGUCUCUUUCCUCUCGCCAGGAUGGUGAUGAUGGUGAAAACAAUAUUAAUGAUAGCAGCUUACACUGGAUGAGUCCUUCCUGCUCACCAGGCCCUGUUCUAAACUUCACAAGUAUGAAUGCUUUAAAACUGAACAGCCCCUUGAAGGAGAUAAUAAUAUCACUUUGAUCUCAUAGAUGAAGAAACUGAGGCACAGAAAAGCAUGAGGGAUAAGGACAGCACAGGGUGGAUUUUUGAGACUUGCAGAAGAGGAUGGAAAAUCCGGGCAGUUUGGACCAGCCUUCAUCACAGUGUAAGGAACCACAGUCUUUCCAGCAUUCCCGUCUUACUUUAGCAGUGCCCUGUGUCUGCUGGUAAGUGUUAUUUGGCAGUCUUGGCUCAUGGACCACUGCCUGAGCAUGCAGCUGUCUGAUGAGCUCCUAGCCAUUGGGGGGAGGGAGUCUGUUCCUGUCUUCCUUUAUUACACACAUACAAGCCUCCUGUCUCCUGGAGCAUCCUGUCACAUUGCUUGUCUCAAGCCAAGAUCUUGCCUUUCAACAGAACCUCAUUCAGUUUGUUUUCUUACUGACAUCAUGUUGUUCCACCCGGAUGAUCUUCUGGUCUCUUGGUAG
ensembl:lncRNA